CUGCUUACGGAUUCGCAAUGAGCACAAGUCUGCAACCUUGAAGGAAAACCCGUUGCAACUGAUGACAUAAUAUUACGUCGCAACAAGAAUGUAUAGAGCUACAGAACUCUGUGGAUCCUUCUCUUCACAAAAGGUGAGGUUUAAAGUUCAUGUUUGUGCUUAUUGAAAAACAAAGAAAGAGACGAGUUGCUUGAUAUAUUGACAGGUAUAUAGUGUAACAAAAACACGCUUAUAGUUCUAACAUGAAUUUGAUUGACUUGGGAGUUGUGACAUGCAAGUAUUUUAUGGUUGAUAAGUCUGUACUACUUGUUAUAUUGUAUGAAAAUAGUCUCUGGCUUCAUCUUCUUUGAUGACAUAUUUUCUAUAACAAUUGAAAUGCAUUAUGCACCUGUUCUUUUUAUUGUGGUUUCAUAUUUUUUUCAAAUUUAUAUAUUCUCUAUGAAUAGUAACAUAGAUGCAUGUUCUUAAUCUAUUUUAGAUUUUUGUUCACCCGAAAAUGCAGUAUAGGUCUGCCAUUGACAUUUUUUUGAAGCACUGGGUGAACAUUUGCCGAGAUGUUGAUAGGAAAAGCCUUUUUGUUUCCUCAUAAAAUGUUGCCCAUCAGUUAUUAAACUUAAUGGAUGCAUGUUGUGGGCUUGAUGACCAUGUACACCUUUUUUAGUUAGAACUGUGUCUGCUAUGGAUCUAUCUUGCUUAAUACAAAGAACUCUGCAUGCUUAGGAAACAAGAGGUAAUGUAAACAAUAGAUUCUCUUGUGAAAUUGCGAUUCAGCCUUGGGGCGUGGAUGGCGAGAAGCGGAGGCGUGUGCCUAGAGUAGCGGACCAUGAUGGAUUGAUGAGCUGAUGUCACGUGACGUACUCACGUGGCGGCUGGUUAGGCUCCGGCGGCUGGAGCCAUCAUCGACCAUGAUGCCACGCCAGGAGCACAAGGGCUAAGACGAGGACAUGUUGGUGCCGAUGAAAUAAGGUUUAUUGGGCCGUCCUCUUCCAGCAACAUAUUACACAAUCUAUUUAAGCCGAUUGAUUCUCUUUGGUGCAAAUGUCCCUCAUUUAGUUGAUGAAACUCUACCUUCAUACAAUUAAUUGAGUUGGGAACCAUAACAUAUAUACAUCUAUGACUGGUAUCUAUUUGGCUAUAUUAAACUGACAAUUUAUUCUUCUUACCGGAAGGAUAUGUCGUGAAGAUGAUUAAUUCUACAAACUAUACUGCUAAUUCAUCGGAAAUGACUACCAACUUAUUUAAUUCUGCAUGUGCAGGUGCUGCCGGUUGACGGGGGCCUAACCAUGAGUCUAACUGAAAGUGAACGGGAG
rnacentral:lncRNA from 1 species